GGAUUAGCUCAGCUGGGAGAGCACCUGCCUUACAAGCAGGGGGUCGGCGGUUCGAUCCCGUCAGCAGCA
rnacentral:tRNA from 1 species